CUGAUUAUAUUAAAGAGCCGCAGUAUUCUGACUGUGCGAAGGUAGCAUAAUAAAUUGUCUUUUAAAUGGAGGCUUGAAUGAAAGGUUGGACAAAGUAUCAUCUGUUUCUUAAAUAUUUAUUGAAUUUGACUUUCAAGUGAAAAGGCUUGAAUAAAUUAAAAAGACGAUAAGACCCUAUAAAUCUUUACAAUAAACAUGUUCUAUGUUUUAAUUUAUAAGUAUAUAAAAUAUUAAAUUUGUAUUUGUUUCGCUGGGGCGGCGUGGAUAUAUUAAUAAACUGUCUAUGUGCUAAAUCCAAUAAUUAUUGAUUAGUGAGAUUGAUCCUUAAAUAGAUUAAAAGAUUAAGAUACUUUAGGGAUAACAGCGUUAUUUUUUUUGAGAGUUCUUAUCGAAGAAAAAGUUUGCGACCUCGAUGUUGAAUUAAAGUAUCUUUAUGGUGCAGCCGCUAUAAGAGAGAGUCUGUUCGACUUUUAAUACUUUACAUGAUCUGA
rnacentral:rRNA from 1 species